UGAACUUGGUUUACAAUUUAGUUUCACGCGCAUGCGUCUUCCUUCAAACCGUUCCGUCGCCUUACCCGCCAGAGUGGGGGAGGGGAAUGGCGGCAAUCAAUUCCCCGUAGGGACCGUAUGUAAGGCAGUCCCGCGCUCUGGGUUGUGAGGUGGGUGGUGAGGUGGCCGUGUUCCUACCCCUUCCCUAGCCUAUUAUCCGCGCCCCGGGCCGACCUGAAGGGACAGUCGCUCCCUGCCUUGGUGCCUCCUGUACCCCUUUUCUCCCUAGAGCCAGCCCGUGACCCCCUGGGCCUCUCCUGGGGGCUGCAACACCAGGAGCACGUCCGAGGCGUGUAUGCCUCCGCUCCCCUUACCUGCCACCGUCGGACCUGGGGCCCGGAGCCGCGCGGGGUCCCCGUGCCCGUGCCUCAGUCCUGUACCCCGCUUUUGCCCUAACGAACUCGCACCCCGCGACCCCCGCUGCGGCGCCCCGGGGUAGGCGGGCCCUGAACGCCGCGGGGCGCUCGCACGAGAAGCGGUGGCCGGACGCCGCGUCCCGCUGCGCCUCGUGAGCGCCAGACUCCGCUCGUCUGAGCGGGUUCCCGCUCAAUUCUUCCAAGGCCAAGUGGGUACCGUUAGAUGCAUUUCCCGGGUGGAGACACUGGGAAAAUGACCCCGGGUCUCCCCGUGUGCGCCUAUGGCACAAGAUGAGUGAGGUUCGUGAUUCCCACCAGCACUGCGGAAAACCGACGCGCCUGCCCUCUCCCGCUCGGGCCUGACGGACACAGGCCAUAAACACGUUCACAAGGAGGUAGCGUGGGACGGUGAGUGAAGGCCUCUCCGAAUGCCGCCACGGAAAGAUGCGGGCGCAGCGUGUCCCCGCCGAGGUGCAGUGGUCUGGAGUCCGAAAACAGGGUUGAGAAAACUAGAGAAAGACACCGAUGGAGUAAAGAGGAACGGUGAUCCUAGGCCUUUGCAAAUGGGGAUUCCUCUGCCCAGAGCACUCUCCCCCAGAUACCGUCAUCACCAGCUCCCACACUAGAAUGUUGGUUCCGUCGCUAGCACUGGGACAGAGUGCCUGGCACGUAAUAGACAUCAACAAAGAAAGCGAGAGAGCACAAGCAGGCGGAACAGUAGAGGGAGAGGGAGCCCGAAGCAGGGCUCGAUCCCAGGAACCCCGGGGUCAUGACCUGAGCCGGAGGCAGAUGCUCAACCAUCUGAGCUACCCAGGUGCCCUGAGGCUAUUUGCAGUCUUGGCUCAUCUUGCUUGAUAACCACCUUGUAACCAGGAAGCCCCACGGAACCCGAGAGUCUACAUCUGGGCUUGAGUGGUGGAGGCUAAGGAGAAGGAAGGUGCGCAGGCAGGCAUGAGAACGCCAAGCUCCGCUGGUGAGGGGAGGAUUGCAAAGUCUUUCUGAAGAGUUGAAAGUAGACCACGUGUGUGCCAGUUGAGCUCCAGCACAUGUGCCUUGGGGCACUGGGACCAGCUCACAGGGCACAUAGCACUUAUUUUCAGCAGAAAAAAAAAAUUUUUUUAUCCUACUUAAAUGUGAAUUUGAAUAUUUUUGAUUAAUAGGUAAUUUAUACAUUUAUUAUGCUUUUAUAUUUAGAAGUUGGAAAUCAAUGAAUGUAUGGUAAGUUUAUGUUUCUAGGCAUUUGAACAAGAUGGUGAGGUGGGUUAAUAUUUUGGAAUUUUAGCCCCUGUAUAGUUUUUGUCCUAAAUAGUUCUCUUUUACACAGGUACCUGUUAUCACCUAAAUGAAAGUGAGGCUUUCUGCAGAAAACAGAACAACUUUCUGGGCUUUCAACUUCCAAAAUAGGCUCUGAACAAUUGUGUUGGAUUGUGAAAGCCUGACUUUUUUUUUAAGUUGUAAAGUUGGAAAUUGUCCAAGGAGGGGCACCUGGGGGGCUCAGUCAGUUAAGCGACUGACUCUUGAUUUCAUCUUGGGUCCUGAUUUUAGGGUUGUGAGAUCAAGCCCUGGGCUGGGCUCCUCGCUGAGUGUGGAGCCUGCUUAAGAUUCUCUCUCCCUCUCCAUCUGCCCUUCCUCCCUCACCCCUGUUCGUGCGUGCUCUCUCUCUCAAAGUAAUAAAAUAAAAUAAAACUUGUACAUGGAA